rnacentral:rRNA from 1 species
AUUGAACGCUGGCGGCAGGCUUAACACAUGCAAGUCGAGCGGGGUGAUGGUGCUUGCACUAUCACUUAGCGGCGGACGGGUGAGUAAUGCUUAGGAAUCUGCCUAUUAGUGGGGGACAACAUCUCGAAAGGGAUGCUAAUACCGCAUACGUCCUACGGGAGAAAGCAGGGGAUCACUUGUGACCUUGCGCUAAUAGAUGAGCCUAAGUCGGAUUAGCUAGUUGGUGGGGAAAAGGCCUACCAAGGCGACGAUCUGUAGCGGGUCUGAGAGGAUGAUCCGCCACACUGGGACUGAGACACGGCCCAUACUCCUGCGGGAGGCAGCAGUGGUGAAUAUUGGACAAUGGGGUGAACCCUGAUCCAGCCAUGCCGCGUGUGUGAAGAAGGCCUUAUGGUUGUAAAGCACUUUAAGCGAGGAGGAGGCUCUUUUGGUUAAUACCCAAGAUGAGUGGACGUUACUCGCAGAAUAAGCACCGGCUAACUCUGUGCCAGCCGCCGCCGUAA